GACGGAGGAGGCUAGCGUUGUUCGGAAUUACUGGGCGUAAAGCGCACGCAGGUGGCGGUUCAAGUCGGAUGUGAAAGCCCGGGGCUCAACCCCGGAUGUGCAUCCGAUACUGGAUUGCUAGAGUCCGAAAGAGGAGAGUGGAAUUCCCAGUGUAGAGGUGAAAUUCGUAGAUAUUGGGAAGAACACCGGUGGCGAAGGCGACUCUCUGGUUCGGUACUGACACUCAAGUGCGAAAGCGUGGGGAGCAAACAGGAUUAGAUACCCUGGUAGUCCACGCCGUAAACGAUGCGCGCUAGAUGUCGGGGGGCUUGCCCUUCGGUGUCGCAGCUAACGCGGUAAGCGCGCCGCCUGGGGAGUACGGCCGCAAGGUUA
rnacentral:rRNA from 1 species